rnacentral:rRNA from 2 species
GGGCUUAACACAUGCAAGCCGAGGGGCAGCACGGCCUUUUUUUGCUAAGGCCGAUGGCGACCGGCGCACGGGUGAGUAACACGUAUCCAACCUGCCGUCUACUCUUGGACAGCCUUCUGAAAGGAAGAUUAAUACAAGAUGGCAUCAUGAGUCCGCAUGUUCACAUGAUUAAAGGUAUUCCGGUAGACGAUGGGGAUGCGUUCCAUUAGAUAGUAGGCGGGGUAACGGCCCACCUAGUCUUCGAUGGAUAGGGGUUCUGAGAGGAAGGUCCCCCACAUUGGAACUGAGACACGGUCCAAACUCCUACGGGAGGCAGCAGUGAGGAAUAUUGGUCAAUGGACGAGAGUCUGAACCAGCCAAGUAGCGUGAAGGAUGAAGGUUCUAUGGAUUGUAAACUUCUUUUAUACGGGAAUAAACGAAUCCACGCGUGGAUUUUUGCAUGUACCGUAUGAAUAAGGAUCGGCUAACUCCGUGCCAGCAGCCGCGGUAAUACGGAGGAUCCGAGCGUUAUCCGGAUUUAUUGGGUUUAAAGGGAGCGUAGAUGGGUUGUUAAGUCAGUUGUGAAAGUUUGCGGCUCAACCGUAAAAUUGCAAUUGAUACUGGCAGUCUUGAGUACAGUUGAGGUAGGCGGAAUUCGUGGUGUAGCGGUGAAAUGCUUAGAUAUCACGAAGAACUCCGAUUGCGAAGGCAGCUUACUAACCUGUAACUGACAUUGAUGCUCGAAAGUGUGGGUAUCAAACAGGAUCAGAUACCCUGGUAGUCCACACGGUAAACGAUGAAUACUCGCUGUAGGCGAUAUACAGUCUGCGGCCAAGCGAAAGCAUUAAGUAUUCCACCUGGGGAGUACGCCGGCAACGGUGAAACUCAAAGGAAUUGACGGGGGCCCGCACAAGCGGAGGAACAUGUGGUUUAAUUCGAUGAUACGCGAGGAACCUUACCCGGGCUUAAAUUGCAACCGAAUAUGGCGGAAACGCUAUAGCUAGCAAUAGCGGUUGUGAAGGUGCUGCAUGGUUGUCGUCAGCUCGUGCCGUGAGGUGUCGGCUUAAGUGCCAUAACGAGCGCAACCCUUGCCGAUAGUUACUAACAGGUCAUGCUGAGGACUCUGUCGGGACUGCCAUCGUAAGAUGUGAGGAAGGUGGGGAUGACGUCAAAUCAGCACGGCCCUUACGUCCGGGGCUACACACGUGUUACAAUGGGGGGUACAGAGGGCUGCUACCACGCAAGUGGAUGCCAAUCCCAAAAACCUCUCUCAGUUCGGAUUGAAGUCUGCAACCCGACUUCAUGAAGCUGGAUUCGCUAGUAAUCGCGCAUCAGCCACGGCGCGGUGAAUACGUUCCCGGGCCUUGUACACACCGCCCGUCAAGCCAUGGGAGCCGGGGGUACCUGAAGUGCGUAAACGCAAGGAGCGCCCUAGGGUAAAACUGGUGACUGGGG